rnacentral:rRNA from 1 species
CAUUAUCACGCGUUACUCACCCGUCCGAAGGGCGAAUUCGCGGCCGCUAAAUUCAAUUCGCCCUAUAGUGAGUCGUAUUAAGAAAACGGUGGCUAAUACCGCAUGUGGCCUGAGGGUCAAAGCAGCAAUGCGCUCUGGGAGGGGCCCGCGUCCGAUUAGCUAGUUGGUGGGGUGACGGCCUACCAAGGCGACGAUCGGUAGCUGGUCUGAGAGGAUGAUCAGCCACACUGGGACUGAGACACGGCCCAGACUCCUACGGGAGGCAGCAGUGGGGAAUAUUGGACAAUGGGCGCAAGCCUGACCCAGCAAUGCCGCGUGCGUGAUGAAGGCCUUCGGGUUGUAAAGCGCUUUCGCCCACGACGAUGAUGACGGUAGUGGGAGAAGAAGCCCCGGCUAACUCCGUGCCAGCAGCCGCGGUAAUACGGAGGGGGCUAGCGUUGUUCGGAAUUACUGGGCGUAAAGGGUGCGUAGGCGGCUGUCCAAGUCGGGUGUGAAAGCCCCGGGCUCAACCCGGGAUGUGCAUCCGAGACUGGGCGGCUCGAGUUCGGGAGAGGUGAGUGGAAUUCCCAGUGUAGAGGUGAAAUUCGUAGAUAUUGGGAAGAACACCGGUGGCGAAGGCGGCUCACUGGACCGACACUGACGCUGAGGCACGAAAGCGUGGGGAGCAAUGGGAUUAGAUACCCC